rnacentral:rRNA from 1 species
GGGCUUCCCGGCGGGAAAUGUAGCGUUAAGGAGUGUCUGUACACACGGUGUCUCGCAUCUCGCUCAAGUCCAACUUGAACGGGGCCGCACAGAGGGUGAUACGCCCGUGUAGCAGUUGCGUGCGCCGUGUAGGCAUCUCCCUAGAGUCGGUUUGCUUGAAAAUGCAGACCUAAGUUGGUGGUAAACUCCAUCUAAGGCUAAAUAUAUCCACGAGACCGAUAGCACACAAGUACCGUGAGGGAAAGGUGAAAAGAACUUUGAAGAGAGAGUUCAAGAGUACGUGAAACUGAGCUGAUGAAAGCGGACAGAAUCGAAAAGUGCGAACAGAGUUGACUCACGCUGAUCGCUGCGGCAGGCGGGGAGUGUUGACGGUGGCCGUGAGGUUCUCUAGGAGCAAUCUUGGGGGGCUUUCCGCAUCGCUUCGCUUUCGGCCUCGUCCAAGGCGAGAAGCUGCACUUCUACUUAGUAGCACGUCGGGGCUCGUUGGGUGUCGUUCUAAGGCCCGCGGUGGAGUCUUCGCCUUGUGUGUCGACCUGCGGUGUCCCGAUCGGCUCCCGACGGUGCUUGUACGGACGAGGCCGUUUGUUCUGAACCCUGGAAGAAUGAGGAUGUUUCAGACUGGUCUCGUCGGUCCCCGGCGCUUCUGCUUUCGAGCUCUGUCCGACCCGUCUUGAAACACGGACCAAGGAGUCUAACAUGUACGCGAGUCAUUGGGUUCACGAAACCUAAAGGCGAAAUGAAAGUAAAGGACGAGCUUGCUCGGACUCAGGGGUGAUGGUCGUGCAUUAAUCGUGCCGGCUCGCAGCCCCGGGGCGUCACGUUCUCGUUGAGAAGUGGCGUACCAAGAGCGUACACGUUGGUACCCGAAAGAUGGUGAACUAUGCCUGGCCAGGGUGAAGUCAGGGGAAACCCUGAUGGAAGCCCGGAGCGAUUCUGACGUGCAAAUCGAUCGUCAGAGCUGGGUAUAGGGGCGAAAGACUAAUCGAACCAUCUAGUAGCUGGUUCCCUCUGAAGUUUCCCUCAGGAUAGCUGGCAUUCGUAAGAAAGUCUCAUCCGGUAAAGCGAAUGAUUAGAGGCCUUGGGGUCGAAACGACCUCAACCUAUUCUCAAACUUUAAAUGGGUGAGAACUCCGGCUUGCUUCGGUGAAGCCGCGAGUUCUACUCGGAUUGAUGAGUGCCAAGUGGGCCAAUUUUGGUAAGCAGAACUGGCGCUGUGGGAUGAACCAAACGCGGAGUUAAAGCGCCUAAGUCGACGCUGAUGGGAUACCAGAAAAGGCGUUGGUUGCUGAAGACAGCAGGACGGUGGCCAUGGAAGUCGGAAUCCGCUAAGGAGUGUGUAACAACUCACCUGCCGAAGCAACUAGCCCUGAAAAUGGAUGGCGCUGAAGCGUCGCGCUUAUACUCCGCCGUCAUUGCACAUGGUCCCGUGCGGGAUUCUUAAAGCAUUGACGAGUAAGAGGGUCGCGUGGGUGUGCGCAGAAGGGUCUGGGCGUGAGCCUGCCUGGAGCCGCCCACGGUGCAGAUCUUGGUGGUAGUAGCAAAUACUCUGGAGAGUCCUCGGAGGACCGAUGUGGAGAAGGGCUCCGCGACAACAGUUGUUGUUCGCGAGUGAGUCGAUCCUAAGCCUAAAGAGAGAUCUUUAGUAUGGUUCGGCCUUACGGCCGCCAUCGGGCGAAAGGGAAUCCGGUAACCAUUCCGGAACCCGGGUUCGGAACCGUAUCUCAGGUCCUCGUACUUGUCACGGCGACGUGAACUGCCCCAAAGACGCCCUCGGGUGCUGUCAGGAGAGUUUUCUUUUCUCUUUGAGCAAGCGUACUCCAUGGAAUUCUUUCGCAGAGAGAUAUGGAGCGGCAAUGCGAAGAGCGCGGCACUUGCGGCCGUGUUGGCAGUUACUCCUGGGACCUUGAAAAUUUGGGUGAGGGCCACGAGUGCAUCCGACCCGGUUCGUACCCAUAUCCGCAUC